UGACACCAUCCAAAACUUAAGAUUACAGAGACUUUGCCAGCACACUGCCCUCUAAUUAUCUAGCUGCAGAUGUUGCCUGUGCCACAGAGAUCUUUGUGCGGAGGAGCUCUGAAGAUUUCCUGGGAGGCUGCUAUGCAACAAUGAUCAUGCAUGGACUCCUUCAAGGGACAGGUUUUGGGGAAGCACACAAGGAGACAAUAACAGAUCAUCACACAGAAUUUGUCUUGAGAAGGUCCUAACUGCUGCUGGCUUGCAGGAGCAGGUAACUCAGGCAAGGACAGAGAUGAGGUCAUGGAGAGUUGAAGAAGCUUGAGUGUCCUUCAGGCUUAAUACCUGGGACUGACAAUAGGAGAGGAGCUGGUAAGUACUAGGAGAGAAGUAAACAGCCACUUUAUGAGAAAA
ensembl:lncRNA